CGAUGCUUGCCACAUGAUGGUGUCCCGCGAGGGAUGAAAAGGGAAGACCGGUGCGCAGCAUCCGCUGCAAGGCCGUCGCUGCCCCCGCAACUGUAAGUGAUUGCAUGGUCCGCUAUGGGCCUGCCGCCUCUGGCGGGCAGGUCCAUGCCACCGGCUCCGGUAAGGGGGCCGGGAAGGCAGCCGGACCCGCAGGCUGCACGGGUUCUCCCGCGCAGACCCGCACGACACAAGCCAGGAGACCUGCCAUCAUCCGCGCUGCCCU
rnacentral:ncRNA from 1 species